GUGCCAGCAGUCGCGGUAAUACGAAGGUCCCGAGCGUUGUUCGGAAUCACUGGGCGUAAAGGGAGCGUAGGCGGCGCGGUAAGUCAGAUGUGAAAUCCCGGGGCUCAACCCCGGAACUGCAUCCGAUACUGCCGUGCUUGAGUAAUGGAGGGGUAGCUGGAAUUCUCGGUGUAGCAGUGAAAUGCGUGGAUAUCGAGAGGAACACUCGUGGCGAAAGCGAGCUACUGGACAUUUACUGACGCUGAGGCUCGAAGGCUAGGGUAGCGAAAGGGAUUAGAUACCCCUGUAGUCCUAGCAGUAAACGGUGUGCGCUUGGUGUGAGGGGAUUCGACCCCCCUUGUGCCGGAGCUAACGCGUUAAGCGCACCGCCUGGGAAGUACGGUCGCAAGACUAAAACUCAAAGAAAUUGACGGGGACCCGCACAAGCGGUGGAGUAUGUGGCUUAAUUCGAUGCAACGCGAAGAACCUUACCAAGGCUUGACAUGCAUCUCUAAGCGCGUGAAAGCGCGUGACCCUUCGGGGGAUUUGCACAGGUGCUGCAUGGCCGUCGUCAGCUCGUGUCGUGAGAUGUUGGGUUAAGUCCCGCAACGAGCGCAACCCUUGUGAAUAGUUGCCAGCGGGUCAUGCCGGGAACUCUAUUCAGACUGCCCAGAUCAACUGGGAGGAAGGUGGGGACGACGUCAGGUCAGUAUGGCCCUUACGCCUUGGGCUGCACACGUACUACAAUGCCCAGCACAAUGAGAACCGAGA
rnacentral:rRNA from 1 species